AUGGCGUGCACCAUGUUUUACCUUGUGUUUUGGCUCCUGCCAAUGUGUGCAGAGCAGACACUGUGUCUAAUAGAUCUCUGUAUUACCCCAAAUGUACAGGACACCAGCUCCAUGGAAUAUGCCCACACCUGUAGAAAGAGAAUGAAGGAGAAAGAGACAGAGACAGAGCGAGGACCAAGGGACUCCAUGACUGAGAAUCCCCAAGUGACCCGUGUUGGCGUGGGAAAGGUGUGGACAUUCCUGCUACUGCCUUGGCUUUCUUCCUCCCGCAGGUCCAUCGGACACUGCGGUUGUGUGUUGAAGUGGCAGAGCCUCCUUAGCUUUGGCGCCCUGUGCCUGCAGGGGAAAGUUCCCGACUCCCUUUGCCCCACCCCUACCCUACCCCCUACCGACAGGAACACCUGCCCUGAACUCUAAUGUGAACAGUAAAUAAACGCUUACCAUGUUGGCCCCUGAAAUCUGAAGGUUCACGAAUUACCGCAGUUACUGACCCGCAUCCGCGGCACCCAUCAACUCCCACCCAGCCAGGAAAUCUCCCUUGAGACUUAGCUCUGGUAUUAACUUCUCCCAAGUUUUUCCUGACCACUACAUCCUCCCACCUGCCAUGGGAUUUAGUACUCCUUUUAACACACCUAUAUUUCAUUUAUCAGUUAUAUGUUGUUUAUAUUUAUGUGGUGCAUACCUCUUUUUCAAUAAAAUUUAAACUCCUUGGGAGAAUAAACUAUACUUCAUUCUGUUUGCUUCUCUGUAGUGUAGGGAAAAACUGACACAUAACAGUACAGAAGAGCUAUUAGUAUAAAAUAUAUAUUAUGCUUGAGGACACAGUUUAGAUUACAUUUGACUGGAAAAGCUAUUUGAAAAUUUAGAGGCGCAUACUUUACUCUGAAAACUGGGAAAUGCUGCAUUAACGUGAAACAUGAAAAUAACAACUGCUUAAAUAUUUCUUAAAAGUAUGAGGCUCUGUGUAAGUUUUGGAGGCAAGAUUGAAAAGGUAUCAGUAGGAGUUAUCAAUCCACCUAGUCAUACUUGUAAUAUUAGGAACAUACCACUUGUAGCAAGAAUCUC
rnacentral:lncRNA from 1 species